CUAUCAACAAACCACGUUUCAACAUGUGGCUGGAGAUAAUUUUAAUGAUGAAGGAGUGGUACAAUCAGUUACAAUAACUACCAAGACACUUCAUAUGGGCAAUUCUGUUUUCAUAUCUGUAUGGGCUGUUAACGGGGUUGGAUUAAAAAGUCAACCUGCUCAUUCUGAAUUUGAACUUGUAGAAGGAGGAAUGUUAGAUUUAGCCAGGAGAUGUCAACCGUAUAAUUGUCUUGGACAUUGUGUUUGUGCUGCACAAGACAAAACAUGUUCAGAUGCUGACAACUGUAGAGACAUCUCAACAGGGAAUCCAAAUAACAUUAUCCAAGUUACAGACAUGACUAAUUUGAUGUCAUCUGAUGCUGCACAGUCUUACUACACAUCGUCUGAUAAUUUUCUAGCUGCCAGAUGGAGGAUAAUAAACCCACAAGGCAUCUCUCCUAUAAGAUAUGAAUGCAGUGCCGGACAUUCCGGUGAAAAUUCACCCAGUGGAAUAUAUGACACUGAUACAGAAAGGACAUGGUUUGAUGUUGGUGAAAAUACCGAAACUAUAAUUACUUUACCUACAGCUAAAGUUUUAGAUAAGUCUGUGCCAUAUAGUGUAUUUGUGAGGGUAUGGUAUAAUGCAAAUCAAUAUGCGAUAUUUAAGUCUCCUGGUAUUACACCACUGAUGUCUGCUCCGAGUGUCAGUCACAUAGC